GUCAGCUCGUGUCGUGAGAUGUGGGUUAAGUCCCGCAACGAGCGCAACCCUGCCUUUAGUUGCCAGCAGUUCGGCUGGGCACUCUAAAGGGACUGCCGGUGUUAAACCGGAGGAAGGUGAGGAUGACGUCAAGUCCUCAUGGCCUUUAUGACCAGGGCUACACACGUACUACAAUGGCCGAUACAAAGGGCAGCGACACUGCGAGGUGAAGCCAAUCCCGUAAAAUCGGUCUCAGUCCGGAUUGGAGUCUGCAACUCGACUCCAUGAAGUUGGAAUCGCUAGUAAUCGUGGAUCAGCAUGCCACGGUGAAUACGUUCCCGGGCCUU
rnacentral:rRNA from 1 species